rnacentral:lncRNA from 1 species
UUAAAAAUUAAAAAAAAAAAAAAAAAAAAGGACGACGAUUCUUUUGAAUUGCAUCAGAACAAAUAAAAAAAAAAAAUACUUUGAAAACGAGACAUCGAGACGCCUCCUCCAUUCCUCGCAGAAUGAGGCGGCAGAGAUAAAAAGAGAGCGCGGAUUGUGCGAAAAGAAAAGUUUGAGAAAGAGUAGGCCGGCUGGUACUUAACAUCCGACGAUGACUUGAAAACGCGCGUUUAUCUAUCCAGCCUUUGGUGGCCGCGAGAGGUUCCUUUUAUCGCUAGGCGCGACCGGAAGUGGUGACAUCGAGGGGGCAAAGAAGGGGCGGAAAUGCAUAGAGACGCCAGGGGUAAGACGGUGCACACGGGGUGGUUGGCCAACUAAAGAGCCUGGAGUAUCAAGUUUUAACGAGGUGUGUUCGGAGACUUUACGACUGUGAGGUACUCGGCAGACAUAAAGAGCCGUGUACGACGAAAGCGCGUUUUUCCAUUCCACCGGAGGAAAAUUGGUAGAGAGGAAAAGGUUUGAAGAAGUGUGUCGGUCAAUGGGUUACCGACCGAGUCACCGGUUAAAUGGGCUAAUGAGUAAGCAAAUGACCGAGAAAGUAAGAUGUUGAUAUUGAAGACGAGUCGCUUCAAGAAUAUGGUAAUUAAGCACGAGUGGAAUAAUUAUGUAUAGGUGAGCCAGUGAAGGAGAAUUUUUUAUGAAUAAUUGUUGUCGAAGGUUAAUAAAAUGAUUGAGUUAGUGAACGAGUCGAGUUGAUAAGUUAGUGAGAGUGAUGAUUAAAUUGAAUGAGUUAAUAAUAUAUUAAUGAUCUAAUUAUUAGUGAGAAAAUUAAUAAGUGUUGAGUUAGUUAUUGAAUGGAUAUGCUAACAAGUGAAUUGGCAAAUGAUUGAUCUGAUAAAUAAAAAUUGAAUUGAUAGGUUAUCAAAUGAGUGAAUACAUUGUUAACCUAUUAAAUAUCCAAAUCAAUAAAUAAUCUAGUUAUUAAAUUAGCAAGUGAAUAAAUGAGUGAAUUAUUGGUAUAAUAAAGCAAUAGAUUAAUAAAUGGACGAUAUAACAAAUCACUUACAUAAUCCAUAACGGAUUAAGUUUGCAAGUGAGUGAAUAUAUUAAUGCACCAAGUACAAAAUCACAUAAAGUACAUAAUCAGUAUUCCGCUUCACAAAUGAAUAAGUAAACAAUUGGAUCAUAAAUAAAUAAUCGUUCAAUACAUAUUAUUGAAUCCGAUAUAACGAAGAAAUGGAAAUAAAAUAAAAAUGAUUACGGCAGCGUCACGAAAAUGAAGAGUGAAAUUGUUGCGGUCGAUCGAGAGCGAAACGAUUCGUUUCGAUUGGCAUCGUUGUUGUGCAGUAACAAAAUAAUUGCAGGAUUCUGUGAGUGCCGCGCCUCUUGUCCCAAGAUUUGUAUAAAAAUCGUUCGUUCCAGUGACGAGCACCACUGUGAUUCCAAUAGAGGGACAGUGUUAAAAAAAGAAAAAGAGAUCGUGUGAUGUUUAACCAUCGAUUGCAUUGCCUCUUUUUAUUCUUUACUCGAGUUCUAUAGAUGCCACUGGGAUUUUAUCUUGGGAUUUUAUUCGAAUAAUUCAGCACUCGUGACCAAUAUCAAACUAAUUAAUGUAACGAGCGAGAUAGAUAAUCUGCCCAUUGCGUGUAUUACGAUAAUUAUCAAUGAUAAAUUUUUCCUGGACGCUUUUUCAUGAACGAGUUUUGCAAAUUGAUAACGAUAAAUAAUAGUAUUGAUGGACUCAGUUAACCUAUACGCUCUAGUGAAUUUUAAUAUUCAACUCUUAAGGCGUAUUCAAAAAAAUUAGAAGUAUAUUAGAAGACGAAUAAGCAGAUGGGACGAGAUGGACACGGAUGAAUAAAAGAUGAAAUUAAAGCGGACGAACAGGCUGGUGGGCAAGUUUCGACUGGAAAAUUUUACCCUUUUCUAUCCUUUUCUAUUUAUUAGCGUACGGUUCAACGAUAUCUUCGAGUGGCUAUAAAUCUUCGAGUAGUUGCCUGUUACCAAGAUAAUGAAGGAAAUGAGAGGAAUUUUCAGCAAACGAGAAACGAUAUAUACCGCGGAACUUAUUUGCAUUUUUCGUGGAAAGCCAUGUAAAAAAAAAAAAAAAAA